rnacentral:rRNA from 1 species
GACGAACGCUGGCGGCGUGCUUAACACAUGCAAGUCGAACGGUAAGGCCCUGCUUUUGUUGGCUGCUCGAGUGGCAAACGGGUGGGUAACACGUGAGUAACCUGCCCUUGACUUUGAGAUAACUUCAAGUAACGGGGGCUAACACCGGAUCGGAGCUCCUACUGCAUGGUGGUGAGUGGAAAGUUGCGGCGGUUGGGGAUGGACUCGCGGCUUAUCAACUUGUUGGUGGGGUAGUGGCCUAGCAGGGCUUUGACGGGUAGCCGGGCUGAGACGGUGACCGGCCAAAUUGGGACUGAGAUACGGCCCAGACUCGUAUGGGAGGGAGCAGUGGGGAAGAGUGUACAAUGGGCGGAAGGCUGAUGCAGCAACGCCGCGUGCGGGAUGACAGCCUUCGGGUUGUAAACCGAAUUCGCCUGUGACGAGGCGUGAGUGACGGUAAUGGGUAAAGAAGCACCGGCUAACUACGUG